rnacentral:ncRNA from 21 species
AUAUAGCAAAAUUACAUAGAAGACUUGUUGCAUGAAAACCGGUGAGAAUCCGGUACGGUGCCGCCACUGUAAGGGGGAGCCGCUGUAAGUUUUAUCAACACUGGAGAGCAGUCUCUGGGAAGUUGUUACAGCUGGCAAUGAACCCAAGUCAGGAUACUUCAACAUUUCUUGUUUAUAC